GAUGAACGCUGGCGGCGUGCCUAAUACAUGCAAGUCGAGCGAACAGACGAGGAGCUUGCUCCUCUGACGUUAGCGGCGGACGGGUGAGUAACACGUGGAUAACCUACCUAUAGGACUGGGAUAACUUCAGGAAACCGGAGCUAAUACCGGAUAAUAUAUUGAACCGCAUGGUUCAAUAGUGAAAGACGGUUUUGCUGUCACUUAUAGAUGGAUCCGCGCCGCAUUAGCUAGUUGGUAAGGUAACGGCUUACCAAGGCAACGAUGCGUAGCCGACCUGAGAGGGUGGUCGGCCACACUGGAACUGAGACACGGUCCAGACUCCUACGGGAGGCAGCAGUAGGGAAUCUUCCGCAAUGGGCGAAAGCCUGACGGAGCAACGCCGCGUGAGUGAUGAAGGUCUUCGGAUCGUAAAACUCUGUUAUUAGGGAAGAACAAAUGUGUAAGUAACUAUGCACGUCUUGACGGUACCUAAUCAGAAAGCCACGGCUAACUACGUG
rnacentral:rRNA from 1 species